GGCGCGAAAACUUUGCAAUACACGAAAGUGUGACAGGGUUAUUCCGAGUGCCAUCCGUUGAGGAAGGCUUUUACCCAGUCUAAAAAUCUGGGGGAAUAAGGAGAGGGCAAGUCUGGUGUCAGCCGCCGCGGUAAUACCAGCUCUCCGAGUGGUGUGGAUGUUUAUUGGGCCUAAAGCAUCCGUAGCCGGUUAAGUUAGUCCCCUGUUAAAUCCACCGAAUUAAUCGUUGGAUUGCGGGGGAUACUGCUGGGCUAGGGGACGGGAGAGGCAGACGGUAUUCCCGGGGUAGGGGUGAAAUCCUAUAAUCCCGGGAAGACCACCAGUGGCGAAGGCGGUUUGCCAGAACGCGCCCGACGGUGAGGGAUGAAAGCUGGGGGAGCAAACCGGAUUAGAUACCCGGGUAGUCCCAGCUGUAAACGAUGCAGGCUAGGUGUUUGGACGGCCACGUGCCGUUCCAGUGCCGCAGGGAAGCCGUUAAGCC
rnacentral:rRNA from 1 species